rnacentral:rRNA from 1 species
GUCUUUUAAUUGAAGUCUGGUAUGAACGGUUGGAUGAGAAAUAUACUUUCUUUGUUUUAUAUAAAAAAAUUAAUUUUUUAGUCAAAAAGCUAAAAUAUUUUUAUAGGACGAGAAGACCCUAUAGAACUUUAUUUUUUUUAUAUAUAAAUUUUAUAGUUUAUUAUAAAUAUAUAUAUUUAUAAUAAUUUUGUUGGGGUGAUAGAAAAAACUAUAUAACUUUUUCUUUUUUUUACAUUUGUUUAUGUUUAUUUGAUCCUUUAUUAUAGAAAAUAAGAUUAAGUUACCUUAGGGAUAACAGCGUUAUUUUCUUUGAGAGUUCUUAUCGAUAAGAAAGUUUGCGACCUCGAUGUUGGAUUAAAAUAAGUGACAGGAGUAGAAUAUUGUUUAUCUAGGUCUGUUCGACCUUUAAAUUUUUACA